AUUUGAUGAUGCGGGCAACUGGCACAUAGUUGCUUAAACCGCUCCCAGUAUUCAUAGAGGGUUUCUCCAUUUGCAUGCCUAAUUCCGCAUAUCUCCUUCCUUAUAUU